UGGGAGCCUUGGCUAUCUCCGGAAGUUCUGUUGAUGCAGAACAAUUUGAAGCCCGGCCCAAGCUGGUUUUGUUUGCUGUUAUUGCUGUUUACCAAUGUUAUCUCCUCUGAUCCUCACAACAACAACCCUGUGGGCCACAGCAUUCCCCUGAUGUAGCAGUCCAGCUACCC